AUUGAACGCUGGCGGCAGGCCUAACACAUGCAAGUCGAACGGUAACAGGAAGCAGCUUGCUGCUUUGCUGACGAGUGGCGGACGGGUGAGUAAUGUCUGGGAAACUGCCUGAUGGAGGGGGAUAACUACUGGAAACGGUAGCUAAUACCGCAUAACGUCGCAAGACCAAAGAGGGGGACCUUCGGGCCUCUUGCCAUCGGAUGUGCCCAGAUGAGAUUAGCUAGUAGGUGGGGUAACGGCUCACCUAGGCGACGAUCCCUAGCUGGUCUGAGAGGAUGACCAGCCACACUGGAACUGAGACACGGUCCAGACUCCUACGGGAGGCAGCAGUGGGGAAUAUUGCACAAUGGGCGCAAGCCUGAUGCAGCCAUGCCGCGUGUAUGAAGAAGGCCUUCGGGUUGUAAAGUACUUUCAGCGGGGAGGAAGGGAGUAAAGUUAAUACCUUUGCUCAUUGACGUUACCCGCAGAAGAAGCACCGGCUAACUCCGUG
rnacentral:rRNA from 1 species